AGUUUUCGGAUGGAAUUUGAUUGACUGAGUGGCGGACGGGUGAGUAACGCGUGGAUAACCUGCCUCACACUGGGGGAUAACAGUUAGAAAUGACUGCUAAUACCGCAUAAGCGCACAGUACCGCAUGGUACGGUGUGAAAAACUCCGGUGGUGUGAGAUGGAUCCGCGUCUGAUUAGCCAGUUGGCGGGGUAACGGCCCACCAAAGCGACGAUCAGUAGCCGACCUGAGAGGGUGACCGGCCACAUUGGGACUGAGACACGGCCCAAACUCCUACGGGAGGCAGCAGUGGGGAAUAUUGCACAAUGGGCGAAAGCCUGAUGCAGCGACGCCGCGUGAGUGAAGAAGUAUUUCGGUAUGUAAAGCUCUAUCAGCAGAGAAGAAAAUGACGGUACCUGACUAAGAAGCCCCGGCUAACUACGUGCCAGCAGCCGCGGUAAUACGUAGGGGGCAAGCGUUAUCCGGAUUUACUGGGUGUAAAGGGAGCGUAGACGGCGAAGCAAGUCUGAAGUGAAAACCCAGGGCUCAACCCUGGGACUGCUUUGGAAACUGUUUUGCUAGAGUGUCGGAGAGGUAAGUGGAAUUCCUAGUGUAGCGGUGAAAUGCGUAGAUAUUAGGAGGAACACCAGUGGCGAAGGCGGCUUACUGGACGAUA
rnacentral:rRNA from 1 species